GGAACUUCCAAGGGGGAUGAUACGAAGAAACAGCGAAGGCCGCUCCUCACGCAGUUCUUCUCGCCCAUUUUUCUGAAGGCGUUCUCAAUCACUUUCUUUGGUGAAUGGGGCGAUAAGAGUCAGAUAGCCACGAUUGGGCUGGCAUCAGAUGCGAACCCUUACGGCGUAGUUCUUGGUGGAAUCCUGGGACAAGCGCUGUGCACGACAGCUGCUGUUCUGGGAGGAAAGAGCUUAGCAUCUCAGAUAUCGGAGAAGAUGGUAGCGCUCUCGAGCGGUGUGCUUUUCCUCGUGUUUGGCCUUCAAUCCUUCCUCUCUGCACCGGGAGAGUUGAUGUGAUACCCG
rnacentral:misc_RNA from 1 species